UGCAGCGACGCCGCGUGAGCGAUGAAGCCUUCGGGUGUAAAGCUCUUCGACGGGAACGAUAAUGACGGUACCCGGAGAAGAAGCUGCGGCUAACUACGUGCCAGCAGCCGCGGUAAUACGUAGGCAGCAAGCGUUGUUCGGAAUUACUGGGCGUAAAGAGUGUGUAGGCGGUGCUCUAAGUUCGGUGUGAAAUCUCCCGGCUCAACUGGGAGGGUGCGCCGAAAACUGGGGUGCUGGAGCGCGGGAGAGGAAAGCGGAAUUCCUGGUGUAGCGGUGAAAUGCGUAGAUAUCAGGAGGAACACCGGCGGUGUAGACGGCUUUCUGGACCGUAGCUGACGCUGAGACACGAAAGCGUGGGUAGCAAACAGGAUUAGAUACCCUGGUAGUCCACGCCCUAAACGAUGCAUACUUGGUGUCGGCCAUUCAGUUGGUCGGUGCCGGAGCUAACGCGUUAAGUAUGCCGCCUGGGGAGUACGGUCGCAAGGCUG
rnacentral:rRNA from 1 species